rnacentral:rRNA from 1 species
GGAGGGUGCAAGCGUUAAUCGGAAUUACUGGGCGUAAAGCGUGCGUAGGCGGUUUAUUAAGUCAGAUGUGAAAGCCCCGGGCUUAACCUGGGAACUGCAUUUGAAACUGGUCAACUAGAGUAUGGCAGAGGAAAGUGGAAUUUCUGGUGUAGCGGUGAAAUGCGUAGAUAUCAGAAGGAACAUCAAUGGCGAAGGCAGCUUUCUGGACCAAUACUGACGCUGAGGUACGAAAGCGUGGGUAGCAAACAGGAUUAGAUACCCUGGUAGUCCACGCCGUAAACGAUGAUAACUAGCCGUUGGGGGGAUUUACCCCUUAGUGGCGAAGCUAACGCGUUAAGUUAUCCGCCUGGGGAGUACGGCCGCGAGGCUAAAACUCAAAGGAAUUGACGGGGACCCGCACAAGCGGUGGAGCAUGUGGUUUAAUUCGAUGCAACGCGAAGAACCUUACCUGGUCUUGACAUCCUGCGAACUUUCUAGAAAUAGAUUGGUGCCUUCGGGAACGCAGUGACAGGUGCUGCAUGGCUGUCGUCAGCUCGUGUCGUGAGAUGUUGGGUUAAGUCCCGUAACGAGCGCAACCCCUAUCCUUAUUUGCCAGCACAUUAUGGUGGGAACUAUAAGGAGACUGCCGGUGAUAAACCGGAGGAAGGCGGGGACGACGUCAAGUCAUCAUGGCCCUUACGACCAGGGCUACACACGUGCUACAAUGGGAAGGACAAAGAGCCGCGAAGCCGCGAGGUGUAGCUAAUCUCACAAAUCUUUUCGUAGUCCGGAUUGGAGUCUGCAACUCGACUCCAUGAAGUCGGAAUCGCUAGUAAUCGUAGAUCAGAAUGCUACGGUGAAUACGUUCCCGGGUCUU